rnacentral:rRNA from 1 species
GACGGAGGAUGCAAGUGUCAUCCGGAAUCACUGGGCGUAAAGCGUCUGUAGGUGGUUCAAUAAGUCAACUGUUAAAUCUUGAGGCUCAACUUCAAAAUCGCAGUCGAAACUAUUAAACUAGAGUAUAGUAGGGGUAAAGGGAAUUUCCAGUGGAGCGGUGAAAUGCGUAGAGAUUGGAAAGAACACCAAUGGCGAAAGCACUUUACUGGGCUAUUACUGACACUGAGAGACGAAAGCUAGGGUAGCAAAUGGG